rnacentral:rRNA from 1 species
AUUGAACGCUGGCGGCAGGCCUAACACAUGCAAGUCGAACGAGUGGCGGACGGGUGAGUAAUGUCUUGGAAACUGCCCGAUGGAGGGGGAUAACUACUGGAAACGGUAGCUAAUACCGCAUACCAUCGGAUGUGCCCAGAUGGGAUUAGCUAGUAGGUGGGGUAACGGCUCACCUAGGCGACGAUCCCUAGCUGGUCUGAGAGGAUGACCAGCCACACGGGAACUGAGAAACGGUCCAGAAUCCUACGGGAGGCAGCAGUGGGGAAUAUUGCACAAUGGGCGCAAGCCUGAUACAGCAAUGCCGCGUGGAUGAAGAAGGACUUCGGGUGGUAAAGUACUUUCAGCGGGGAGGCGUUACUCGCAGAAGAAGCACCGGCUAACUCCGUGCCAGCAGCCGCGGUAAUAC